UUGUGGCUGGUUCCAUUCCGGAACUGGUCCACCUGUUCUAACAGACCCAAAGGCGAAGGAUAGUCAGAAUUCUGGGCCAGAAUUCAGACUAUCCUCCCAACCUUAGCUAAUGCGGGGCAAGGCUGUGUUAAGAUGAUUUUGCCCCAUGUUAUCCUGGAUUGGCUCUGUGCAGUGUUUGACUGCCACAAAGUUGAUCAGGCCCUACACCAACCUAAGUAGUCAGGGUAGAUAUGCCCUAUGUUUAACUUAAUUGUUAUACAGUUGACUCUCCAUUUUUGUAGGUUUAAUCUGCAAAAUUGAUGAAACAUUGAUUAUUUGCAGCCACCAGAUACCGUUUUUAAUAUGGACUGCAAGCCUUACCAGACUGCAAAGGCACAACGAGGCUUGUAAAUGAUGUAGGGCAGCAGUGGAGAUGGCGGGUAGGUGGAAGCAAGCCCAGAUGGAUAGGAGAGCCAGGAGGGUGGCACUCCCUGGUCCCUUUUGCUCAUAUCUGCCAAGAAAGAACAAGGGAAAGAGCUGUUUGGCCAAAGAAUUUUCAAUACAUGCUGUUUUAUCAAAAGCUCAGUUCAAAACAAACAGCAGAAAGAAGCAAGCCAGCCAAAAUUAACAGUCCAAAGCCAAGAAGCCAGAUGCAGGAGUCCUUGAAGGUCAAGCUGGAAUAUCUACAAGUCAAGUCAAAAAUCAGAAGCACAGAAUUCAAACAACAAACAGGGACCUGUGAGCCAAUGCCAAGAUUCAAAGUCCAAUUCGCCAGAGAAGCAGCAGAGUCAAGUCAGAAACAAACAAAAGCCAAGAUCACAAUCCAGGGUCAGAAAUCCUGGCAUCCAAAAAGCAGCAGAGUCAAGUUCCAAGCCAAGAAAUGAUGACAUUAGCCAAGGUCACAUUUCAGAGCCAGAAAUGCCGGGAGUCAGAGGAGCAGCAGAGUUAGGAUUCAAGAAAAUUAUAACAAUGAUGUCUGCCACAAUAAAACCUCACACCGAGAACCUUUCUA